rnacentral:rRNA from 1 species
AUGGGAACGCGAAGAACCUUACCUACUCUUGACAUCCAGAGAACUUUCCAGAGAUGGAUUGGUGCCUUCGGGAACUCUGAGACAGGUGCUGCAUGGCUGUCGUCAGCUCGUGUUGUGAAUGUUGGGUUAAGUCCGCAACGAGCGCAACCCGUUAUCCUUUGUUGCCAGCGGUCCGGCCGGGAACUCAAAGGAGACUGCCAGUGAUAAACUGGAGGAAGGUGGGGAUGACGUCAAGUCAUCAUGGCCCUUACGAGUAGGGCUACACACGUGCUACAAUGGCUCAUACAAAGAGAAGCGACCUCGCGAGAGCAAGCGGACCUCAUAAAGUGCGUCGUAGUCCGGAUUGGAGUCUGCAACUCGGACUCCAUGAAGUCGGAAUCGCUAGUAAUCGUAGAUCAGAAUGCUACGGUGAAUACGUUCCCGGGUCUUGUACACACCGAGUCGUGGGA